rnacentral:rRNA from 1 species
AACGUAGGAGACAAACGUUAUCCGGAGUUACUGGGCGUAAAGGGCGUGUAGGCGGUUCGUUAAGUCUGGCGUGAAAGCUCUCGGCUAAACCGGGAGAGGUCGUUGGAUACUGGCAAACUAGAGGACGGUAGAGGCGUGUGGAAUUCCGGGUGUAGUGGUGAAAUGCGUAGAGAUCCGGAGGAACACCAGUGGCGAAGGCGGAUCUCUGGGCCUUACCUGACGCUCAGGUGCGAAAGCUAGGGGAGCGAACAGG